rnacentral:rRNA from 1 species
UACGUAGGGUGCGAGCGUUAAUCGGAAUUACUGGGCGUAAAGCGUGCGCAGGCGGUUCGUUGUGUCGGUGGUGAAAUCCCCGGGCUUAACCUGGGAAUGGCCAUGGAAACUGGCGAACUGGAGUGCGGCAGAGGGGGGUGGAAUUCCGCGUGUAGCAGUGAAAUGCGUAGAUAUCGGGAGGAACAUCGAUGGCGAAGGCAAUCACCUGGGCCUGGACUGACACUGUGACACGAAAGCGUGGGUAGCAAACAGG